GAUGAACGCUGGCGGCGUGCCUAAUACAUGCAAGUCGAGCGAACGGACGAGAAGCUUGCUUUUCUGAUGUUAGCGGCGGACGGGUGAGUAACACGUGGAUAACCUACCUAUAAGACUGGGAUAACUUCGGGAAACCGGAGCUAAUACCGGAUAAUAUUUUGAACCGCAUGGUUCAAAAGUGAAAGACGGUCUUGCUGUCACUUAUAGAUGGAUCCGCGCUGCAUUAGCUAGUUGGUAAGGUAACGGCUUACCAAGGCAACGGUGCAUAGCCGACCUGAGAGGGUGAUCGGCCACACUGGAACUGAGACACGGUCCAGACUCCUACGGGAGGCGGCAGUAGGGAAUCUUCCGCAAUGGGCGAAAGCCUGACGGAGCAACGCCGCGUGAGUGAUGAAGGUCUUCGGAUCGUAAAACUCUGUUAUUAGGGAAGAACAUAUGUGUAAGUAACUGUGCACAUCUUGACGGUACCUAAUCAGAAAGCCACGGCUAACUACGUG
rnacentral:rRNA from 1 species